rnacentral:rRNA from 1 species
AUUGAACGCUGGCGGCAGGACUAACACAUGCAAGUCGAACGAGUGGCGGACGGGUGAGUAAUGUCUGGGAAACUUCCUGAUGGAGGGGGAUAACUACUGGAAAAGGUAGCAAAUACCGCAUACCAUCAGAUGUGCCCAGAUGGGAUUAGCUAGUUGGUGGGGUAACGGCGCACCAAGGCGACGAUCCCUAGCUGGUCUGAGAGGAUGACCGGGCACACUGUAACUGAGGUACGGUCCGGAUACGUGAGGGAGGCAGCAGUGGGGAAUAUGGGACAACGGGAGCCAGCAUGAUGCAGCCACGCCGCGUGUAUGAAGGAUGCCUACGGGUGGUAAGGUACUUUCAGCGGGGAGGCGUUAACCGAAGAAGAAGCUCCCCCUAACUCCGUGCCAGCAGCCGCGGUAAUUC